rnacentral:rRNA from 1 species
AGUGAACGCUGGCGGUAGGCCUAACACAUGCAAGUCGAACGGCAGCACAGUAAGAGCUUGCUCUUACGGGUGGCGAGUGGCGGACGGGUGAGGAAUACAUCGGAAUCUACUUUUUCGUGGGGGAUAACGUAGGGAAACUUACGCUAAUACCGCAUACGACCUACGGGUGAAAGCAGGGGAUCUUCGGACCUUGCGCGAUUGAAUGAGCCGAUGUCGGAUUAGCUAGUUGGCGGGGUAAAGGCCCACCAAGGCGACGAUCCGUAGCUGGUCUGAGAGGAGGAUCAGCCACACUGGAACUGAGACACGGUCCAGACUCCUACGGGAGGCAGCAGUGGGGAAUAUUGGACAAUGGGCGCAAGCCUGAUCCAGCCAUACCGCGUGGGUGAAGAAGGCCUUCGGGUUGUAAAGCCCUUUGUUGGGAAAGAAAAGCAGCAGGUUAAUACCCCGCUGUUCUGACGGUACCCAAAGAAUAAGCACCGGCUAACUUCGUGC